rnacentral:misc_RNA from 1 species
CCAGGAGUCUCACAACUCUCCACCCUAGUGUGUACAUAAUAUAGACUUGGUUGCUUCGGCGGCAUGCCGGCCUCUAGCGCCGGCCGCCGCCGGGGGGACUUAAUAUUAAACCCUUGCGAAACAGGAGCGUCUGAGUAUAUAAACAAAUAAGUUA